UCAAAACUAACAUUUCAAAAGAGUCGGAAAGAAUUAGCCAGCGGUUACCCCGGUGUCUACAGAAGAGGAAAGGGAAGUGGAGGAAUUUCUCUAGGGCGCUGUGAGUUUUCCUGGCUCCACUCCUCGCCGGUUAGGCUGCCGAUCGGAGUCAGCUUCUCCCCUUCGUGAGAAGUGGAAGAGACUGGUUUUCUGAAAGCAAUAGGACUGAAGAUGUUAACACUGAAUUUCUCAAUGUCCAGGUGGAACCGGCGUGGGACUGGCAUGGUACUUCCUGCUGCCCUCUUCAUAGGCCAAGGUGACAAUUCUGUUAGCUCAGGAUGGCGUUAGUUUCAAGAGAAACUGGAGGGCUUGUUUCCUGAAUCAUCUUCUUGUGAGCCCAUACUCUGCGAAGGGGAAGGCAAGUGGUGUGCUGUGACUGACCCUACCAGGACUUGGGAAAGCAGGCAUGCCAGCUACUCGGCCUGUCUCCCCUGCAGAAAGCCACCUGGGCCUUCCCUCGCCACACUCACAGGCAGUGCCUGACAAGCACCUCUGUGAACUUAUGGGUACUGGUUUUUAACAACAGUGAACUUCUGUUUAAUAAAUGAAAUCAUGUUUUUGUGCUUAA